AGGUAUGGGAGACAUAAGGCAAACAUCAAUAAGGUGGUUAAAGAUAAUUAUAAUAAAUCCUGUAAUACUUUUGAGUCAUGGCCCAAAGUUUCCCAGCCGUGAGAAGAGACCAAAGGCAUCCCGCCCCUGGCUCUGUUGCAGAUCUUUGUUUUAAGGCUUUUGAGUUUUGUAUACUUUUGUAAAUUAAUUCACAGUGGUCACUCAGAUUCACGUAACACAUCCUAUCAAAGUCUUCACACUCUUGUCCCUUGACAUAUGAUGGACAGAAUCAACAUCUGUUAAUAAGCCAGAAAAAAAAAGAACAGUAUUUGUAGUAUUGCUUUGUUUAGCAAGCUAGCAGCCUAAUUUACUAAGCAAGUUAAGAGCGUGUACUAUUCUUACAGAAGAGAUUAGAGAAGCAAAAA